rnacentral:rRNA from 1 species
UACGUAGGGUGCAAGCGUUUGUCCGGAAUUAUUGGGCGUAAAGAGCUCGUAGGCGGUUUGUCGCGUCUGCUGUGAAAAACCCGAGGCUCAACCUCGGGCCUGCAGUGGGUACGGGCAGACUAGAGUGCGGUAGGGGAGAUUGGAAUUCCUGGUGUAGCGGUGGAAUGCGCAGAUAUCAGGAGGAACACCAAUGGCGAAGGCAGAUCUCUGGGCCGUAACUGACGCUGAGGAGCGAAAGCAUGGGGAGCGAACAGG